GUGCCAGCAGCCGCGGUAAUACGGAAGGUCCGGGCGUUAUCCGGAUUUAUUGGGUUUAAAGGGAGCGCAGCGGGCCUUUAAGCGUGUUGUGAAAUGUACCGGCUCAACCGGUGAACUGCAGCGCGAACUGGAGGUCUUGAGUGAGUACGAUGUAGGCGGAAUUUGUGGUGUAGCGGUGAAAUGCUUAGAUAUCACGAAGAACUCCGAUUGCGAAGGCAGCCUACAAGUCCUUUACUGACGCUAAAGCUCGAAGGUGCGGGUAUCGAACAGGAUUAGAUACCCUGGUAGUCCGCACGGUAAACGAUGGAUGCCCGCUGUUGGCGAUACAAUGUCAGCGGCCAAGAGAAAUCGUUAAGCAUCCCACCUGGGGAGUACGCCGGCAACGGUGAAACUCAAAGGAAUUGACGGGGGCCCGCACAAGCGGAGGAACAUGUGGUUUAAUUCGAUGAUACGCGAGGAACCUUACCCGGGCUUGAACUGCACAGGACGGCGGUGGAGACACCAACUCCCUUCGGGGCCUGUGUGGAGGUGCUGCAUGGUUGUCGUCAGCUCGUGCCGUGAGGUGUCGGCUUAAGUGCCAUAACGAGCGCAACCCUUCUCUUCAGUUGCCAUCAGUUUUAGGCUGGGCACUCUGGAGACACUGCCACCGUAAGGUGUGAGGAAGGUGGGGAUGACGUCAAAUCAGCACGGCCCUUACGUCCGGGGCUACACACGUGUUACAAUGGGUGGUACAGAGAGUCGGUUGCCGGCAACGGCGAUCCAAUCCUUAAAGCCAUCCUCAGUUCGGAUUGGGUCUGCAACCCGACCCCAUGAAGCUGGAUUCGCUAGUAAUCGCGCAUCAGCCAUGGCGCGGUGAAUACGUUCCCGGGCCUUGUACACACCGCCCGU
rnacentral:rRNA from 1 species